rnacentral:lncRNA from 1 species
GCCCUAUUUUCUGCUGUAUUACUUAAAAUCACAGCUUCUUCUGCCCCUUUUAUUUGUUCCUCAUACUCUCGGACAAUAGCAAAAAUAUCUCAAUACUCCUUCCUAGACCAAGUACUGAGGGUAUUAGCUACUCUUUUCAUCUUCUGGUGAAGACUCCAAAUAGGAUCACCAUGAACCUCUCUCUGCCAGCAAACCUUAACAGUCUCCAUAAAAUUAGCAUUUUCUGUCCAGCAGUGUAAAAACUUGAAGUAUCUCAUACUGUUUCCUUGUCUC